UGCUGUUGGGAGACCCUGGUCUGCACCUCUAUCUGUAAACAUACUGAAGGGAGAGCAGGGCAGGGUUUCCCAUACAGGAGGCACAGGCUACCAUC
ensembl:miRNA Mir504 microRNA mir-504